CACAGUGGCUCACACCUGUAAUCCCAACACUUUGGGAGGCGAGACAGGUGGAUCAGUUGAAGUCAGAAGUUUGAGACCAGCCUGGCCAACAUGGUGAAACCCCGUCUCUACCAAAAAUACAAAAAUUCGCCAGGCGUGGUGGUGGGCGCCUAUUAUCUCAGCUAGUCGACUCUGUCUCAAAAAAAAAAAAAUAGUAAGAGGUGAAAUGAGAUCUAUAACACAAUACCAUUUAUGUAAAUUAAAUACAGAUUUUGCAAAAACACAUAGAGAUACACACUAAGCACAUUACUAUAGUGGCCUAUGAGAAUCAGUAUAAUGUGAUGGUUAAGAGCACAGACUCAGCCAGGCGCAGUGGCUGACGCCUGUAAUCCCAGCACUUUGGGAGGCCGAGGCGGGUGGGGUCACCUGAGGUCAGGAGUUUGAGACCA
rnacentral:lncRNA from 1 species